UACGAAGGGGGCUAGCGUUGCUCGGAAUUACUGGGCGUAAAGGGAGCGUAGGCGGGUUAUCAAGUUGGAGGUGAAAGCCCAGGGCUCAACCUUGGAAUUGCCUUCAAAACUGAUAGCCUAGAGUAUGAUAGAGGUAUGUGGAACUCCGAGUGUAGAGGUGAAAUUCGUAGAUAUUCGGAAGAACACCAGUGGCGAAGGCGACAUACUGGGUCAUGACUGACGCUGAGGCUCGAGAGCGUGGGGAGCAAACAGG
rnacentral:rRNA from 1 species